AUUGAACGCUGGCGGCAGGCCUAACACAUGCAAGUCGAACGGUAGCACAGAGAGCUUGCUCUUGGGUGACGAGUGGCGGACGGGUGAGUAAUGUCUGGGAAACUGCCCGAUGGAGGGGGAUAACUACUGGAAACGGUAGCUAAUACCGCAUAACGUCUUCGGACCAAAGUGGGGGACCUUCGGGCCUCACACCAUCGGAUGUGCCCAGAUGGGAUUAGCUAGUAGGUGGGGUAAAGGCUCAACUAGGGGACGAUCCCUAGCUGGUCUGAGAGGAUGACCAGCCACACUGGAACUGAGAAACGGUCCAGACUCCUACGGGAGGCAGCAGUGGGGAAUAUUGCACAAUGGGCGCAAGCCUGAUGCAGCCAUGCCGCGUGUAUGAAGAAGGCCUUCGGGUUGUAAAGUACUUUCAGCGGGGAGGAAGGCGUUAAGGUUAAUAACCUUGGCGAUUGACGUUACCCGCAGAAGAAGCACCGGCUAACUCCGUGCCAGCCGCCGCGGUAA
rnacentral:rRNA from 1 species